rnacentral:rRNA from 1 species
UACACUCCUACGGGAGGCAGCAGUGGGGAAUAUUGCACAAUGGGCGCAAGCCUGAUGCAGCCAUGCCGCGUGUGUGAAGAAGGCCUUCGGGUUGUAAAGCACUUUCAGCGGGGAGGAAGGCGAUACGGUUAAUAACCGUGUUGAUUGACGUUACCCGCAGAAGAAGCACCGGCUAACUCCGUGCCAGCAGCCGCGGUAAUACGGAGGGUGCAAGCGUUAAUCGGAAUUACUGGGCGUAAAGCGCACGCAGGCGGUCUGUCAAGUCGGAUGUGAAAUCCCCGGGCUCAACCUGGGAACUGCAUUCGAAACUGGCAGGCUUGAGUCUUGUAGAGGGGGGUAGAAUUCCAGGUGUAGCGGUGAAAUGCGUAGAGAUCUGGAGGAAUACCGGUGGCGAAGGCGGCCCCCUGGACAAAGACUGACGCUCAGGUGCGAAAGCGUGGGGAGCAAACAGGAUUAGAUACCCCAGUAGUCCCAUGAU